UUGUUUUCAGCAGGUAGCUGUCGGCGGCUAAGUGUGGUGCCAAGUCAGACCAGGCUGUGGCCAGCGUGGAGAGCGGGUAGGCCCCUUUGCAGUACAUUGUUGAAAAAUGAGAGUUGUCAUUUUUGGUGCAGUCUGCUCUUGUUUUGUGUGUGUGUGUGUGUGUGUCUGUCUGUCUGUCUGUCUGUCUGUCUGUCUGUCUGUUUUGUGUAGCUUUGACAGGUGUGGUUUAGCCUCCACCUGUUUGGCAGUGUAGUGUGUCGAAGUAGGGAGUGCGUUAGCAAGUGACGUGUUGGUCGUGCGGGCUGCAGCCUGUAGCAUGGUGUUGAGUAGCAUGGUGUUGAGUAGCAUGGUGUUGAGUAGCAUGGUGUUGAGUAGCAUGGUGUUGAGUAGCAUGGUGUUGAGUAUCGGAGUAGUGGCGGUGCGCUUUGCGGUGGAGUGUUUUCGAGCAAGUGUGCGGUCGGGUUUAGUAGUGCGUGUGUGGUCGGCAUUUGGGUCAGCGGCGGUUCGGUUUGCGUAAGAGCGUCGUUUUCGGCUUGCGAUGUUGCGGUUGUCGGCUCCUUUGUUCUGGGUUCGGGUCGAUGUGUAGGUGUGGCGGUUUAAUGUCGAUGAGGCAGGCGUGUGUGUGUGUGUGUGUGUGUGUUUUUGUGUGUGUGUGUGUGUGUUUUUGUGUUGCAGGUUUUGGUUGGCGGUGUGGUCCUGGUUCGAGUCAUCUUGCCGAAGAAUGGCAUGGAGGAGUUCAAGGCGCAGUCCAGCCUCCUAGCAGCCUCCUGAUGAAGUAGGAGUCCACGGUGCCAUGGCCAGGGCGGAACCUCGGAGGGAGGACCUGAUGGAGAGGACCAUACGGCAGCAGGAGAGCGCGGCGCCAUAGUAAAUUUUAAAAUGUCAUUGAUUCUCCGACGUUUGAAUGUGUUUGUUGUCCAAUGUAAUGCAAGUUCUUUAUUUUGUGUAUGUUUUUAAGUAGUGUUGUGCAAGUUUUGUUGUUGUCAGUAUGGACCAAAUACAUUGUUGUGUUUACUGCUGGAUGUGAUGUUUUUGUGUUGUCAAUAAA